ACAGUGGAGAAACAGUGGUCUCUGUGACAUUUUGGAGAAGAAGGCACAAUGCCAAAUGAAAGAGAUAUUCACCUCCCAUGAGUCUGUGUUGGAUUUCAACAGUAGCUUCAGGCACUUAAGAUACUGGCCUUGCUUUCCUGAGGCUUUGUAAGAAAGGAUACUGGCUGUUGGAACUCCAUGACAGUGGCAGCAAACCGCCCACACCAGUGGAGCUGGAUUCUCCUGACACUCCCAGUGCUAAAUACAGCAUGACAAUUGUUCUGUUUUUCCCACAUCAUUUUCAUAACUCUCUUUCUAGCAAAUAGACACCGUGACACUUAAGAUUUGAGCUCCGUACAUUUUUCGGAUGUUCUGUCAUAGCACACGCUAAAUCCAUGGCCUCUGACUGUGGAGGCGUCUUAUAAAGGCAUGCAUUUUUAAUAGGGUGUGUUCUCCAGUGCAAUGGAUGGCACAAAGGCCAACUAAGACAACCCCCACACUACUGGGCUGGAAAAACUGGAAUAGGAGUCACCUGUGAUGAUUGCACAACAAUCCUGAAGAUAUUUCUGGGUCAUGGUGAUCAGUUCUUACCAACACAACACAACACUAAUCGUCCAAAAAUUAGCUUGCUUCACUGGAGCCCUCAUAAAGCUGACUCGUCUGAUUGGUUCUGAUCAUUAGAGAGAAGAGGGAAGCAUAAAAGGAGGUUGAAUGUUCCAAAAUAUAAAUAAUGUUCCAUUGAAUUCUGCUGGAAGUUUCAGGUAAUGAGUGACAUCCAUUUAUAAACUGAAAAAUGAGUUAAUCUCUGACAAACGACACUAACUUGUUGCUUGUUACUCUGAUAUAUACACUACCAUAUACACUACAGUAUGGGGUUGGUAUGUUUUUUUGGGGUUUUUUUUUUAAUGUUUUUGAAAGUAAUCUCUUAUGCUCAACAAGGCUUUUUCCUCCCCAGACUUUUGAAUGGUGGUAUAUAUUUAUAAUACAUAUUUAGAACAAUUCAUUCAAAAAUCAUUAAAACUCAUCAAAAUCUAUGCAUGGCAAAUUAAUACUGCAACUUACAUGUAAGUUAUACAGUUCUUUCCAUUCUGACGCUCGAGAUGUGUGAGAAUAUUGAAAUAAGGAAGCAACAAAAUGCCACAGAGUAAGGUCACACCUAGCUGAGGGCUCAUUGUACAUUUGCCACAACAUGAGGGCUAAAGGCCAAAAGCAUUUUAUGGCACAAGUCACACAUCAGUUUUAGCUCCCCUUCACACUGUGGUGGAUUCUGGUCUGCAGCUUCCCUAAGAUUUUACACAGAUAAAAUGUGAGACAUGAACAUCCCCACUUGUUAAUGUACUGACAGACUUCAUCACUAACCAAUGUUAGUGCUGAAGCAAUGCUACUAAUUAGUUCACUCAAAAAUUAAUGUUCUGUCAUCAUUUAUUCACCUUUAUGUUGUCCCAAACCUGUAACUUUCUUUCGUUUUUCUGUGGAAUAUAAAAUAAUAUAUUUUGAGUGCUUUUGUCCAUACAAUAUAACUCAAUUGUCAACAAACAACUUGGUUUCCAAUAUUCUUCAAAAUAUUUUCUUUUCUGUUUCACAGAGGAAAGAAAGUCAUACAGGUUUGGAACAUGAGGGUGAGCAGGCCUAAAUGAUAACAGAAUUUUCAUUUGUGGGUGAACUUUUACCUACAUUUUCAAAAGGCAGUAGCUCAAGCUAUUUUAAAAACAGCAUAGUUCCCUUUCAGUAAGUCACGUUCAACAUUAACGUCAGCGACUGACAAAUUGAUCUUGCCUGAGAGCCCAAACACUUUUCCAGUGGUAAUAGAACAAGCCAAUGCACAUUGGUGAGUGAGAUUCGCAACGUGAGCCGCACCUCUGCUUCCGGGUAUAUAAGGCAGCGUGCAAAUACUCGCAUUAAGUUUUUGCUUCGGAGCCGAGCUGAUGUUUCUUUCUCUGCUCUACAAUCAUCAUUCCUGAGUAUCAGAACAAGAGGGUUUCUGUUCCUGUCAUGUGUUGGUGUGACGGCGCGUUACAGCGGAGGUCGCAAGUGCUGAGUGUGCACGUUCAGAGUGCAGCGGCUGUUUCAACAUCAAAGAGCAGAUUUUCCUAAAAUUUUUCUGGAUGCUGUCGUUUCCUGGCCCUCUCUGACAGCCAUGAUCAUUGCCUCACAUGUCUGUGCCGUAAGCAUGCUGAGCGUUUGUGGAUGAGUCAUGGACUCACUGCAUGAAGAUGACCAUCGCAAUGUUGAGGUCGAGACUAAGAUACCUCGAAAGAGGUGGAGUCCCCUCUGCUAUCCCCCGAUCUGGUUCUUCUGUACAGCAGAGGACCACUUUGGUGGAUAAACAGGGUGACCUAAAGAGAUUAUGGUCGGAGCGCAUCCACUGGAUGAGUCCCCAUGGCCCUCCCAUUCCUCUUUUCUAUUGCAGGCUGUGGAGCUUCCGGCUGGGGUCGCUGGUCCUUCUCAAGGGAGGACCCAGCAUCUCAUUUGGAGCAUAGUUGGAUGACCAAAGGGUACGUGGAGGUCCCUAAGAUAGGACUCCUAUACCUCAGACACCUCAGCCAUUUGGGGCUUUAGAUCAACUGGGAAAAGAGCAAACUCUUCCCUGUGCAAAGAAUAUCUUUUCUAGGUAUGGAGUUGGACUAGAUCAACAUGACAGCGCAUCUCACGAAUGAGUGUGCCCAGUCAGUGCUGAACUGCUUGAAUUUGUUCUGAGGCAGGACGGCGGUUCGAUUGAAAUUGUUUCAGAGGCUGCUGGGGCAUAUGGCAUCCGCAUCAGCGGUCAUGCCACUUGCAUUGCUUCAUAUUAGACUGCUUUAGCGCUGGCUUCAUGACCAAGUCCCGAGAUGGGCAUGGCACCGUGGAAAUCAUUCCGAUCUGUCACAGUAAGGCAAGGUCCAACCACGUUCAGCCCGUGGUUGGACCUUGCUUUUCUACGGGCAGGAGUGCCCCUAGAACAAGUGUCCAGGCAUGUUCUUGUGUUAACAGAUGCAUCCAGCAUGGGCUGGGGUGCUGUAUGCAAUGGGCAAGCAGCAGCGGGCUCCUGGACAGGACCUCGCCUGCAGUGGCAUAUCAAUUGCUUUGAGUUGCUAGCAGUACAACUUGCCCUGUGCCGGUUUUUACCAUCGCUGCUGGGCAAACAUUUGCUGAUCCGUACGGACAACACAUCGACCAUUGCGUACAUCAACCGUCAAGGUGGUCUACGCUCCUGUCUUCACUCCUGUAGGUGGGCUGGGCAACACCUAACACAUUUGCGAGAUUCUACAAUUUCUGAGUAGAGCCGGCAUCUUCCCGAGUGUUGUGUACAAACAGGAAAUGUGCGGGAAGAAUGGCUCGGCAUCUCACUUGCUGCGUCAUUCCCCUCUCGGGACGGGUACGAGUGCCUAUUCUGCUCUUCAGGUGAGUUCCCUGGCUGAUGAACCCUGGGGAGUUCCUCCAGCAACCUCAGCAGUCAGAUGCGGCGGAGGCAUUUGACGGCAGGUCUAGUACUUACAUGUAAUGCCUGGUUGGUCAGUCCCUGUACUAGACUAGAUGCCCAUAUGUUGUGGUUCCCCCCUCUGGGUGACCACAUAUGUGUAUUCCACGGUAAUGCUUACCUGUUGGUGAGCCCGUGUCUUUCCCUCAGCAGAGUCUACUCUGCCAUCUCUGUAACGGUAUUGACUUCACCCCUGCAUAAGCGGUAUCUACCACAGAGAUCUUCCAUAUGUAGCACUGCCCCUUGUCCGUCCAUAUGAGUAUUUUCCACAUGGUACCACCCUACAAGUAGGAUGUGGUCUCCGCAGCAUUCCUUUCCAGAUUGUAAAGGGUAGGUUAAAUGGAACAUCAGUGGUUGACAUUCUCUGCGUUAAGCCCUGUCCUUUCUUCCACCCCAGGGGUUGCGGGGAACGAGGCGGAUUACUCGGGAUGCUGGAAGGGAAGGGAUCCCAAUUCGUCAGUUACUGACAUUAAUUCACGUUGCGAAUCUCGCUCGCCAAUAUGCAUUGGCUUGUUCUGUUAUCACUCGAAGGUGAUUGGGCUCACAGGCAAGGGUUCGUCAAUUCGUCAGUCACUGACAUUAACGACUCCGUUCCCUCUUUCAACCUAGACGUUUUCCACUAACAAUCUACUUCUUCCAACCAUUAGCAUUUUCAUGUGACAAAAUACUACAUUGCUAUUAUGUCACAAGUUUACUGUGUUUGCACCGUUUUAUAGCACAGAUAAUGCUGCUGAAACCAGCCUAUGUUGGUUGGCUUAUCUUAGCUGGUUUAAACUAGGUGUACCUGGUUUAAGUUGGUCAAGCUGACCAGCUAAAGAAGUAGUCAAAGCCCCUCUAAAACCAGCCUGCUAAACCAGCUAAGACCAGCCAACCACCUUAAGCUGGUUUUUGCUGUUUGUUUCAGCUGGUAGCUUUUUAAUAAGUCACAGAGUGGAGGUAUCACGACACUGCAUCUGGAUGGAGAGUGAACUGUGAUGAUACCCAGAAAAUGUUCCACUGACAAUAGUGCAUGUGUCCUGUUUGGUUCUUUUAUUGGGAUAUUCUAUUCUUAUUGGGCUUUACAUUUUUUUUAUUUUUCCCUGCUGAAACAAACAGCUAAAACCAGCCUGAGCUGGUCUUCUAGCCUGGUUUAGCAGGCUACUUUUAGAGGAGUUUUGACAACUUCUUUAGCUGGUUAGGCUGACAGACUAACUAACCAACCAGCUGAACACCAGCUUGCUCAGGUUGGGAGACCAGCUUAAAUCAGCUAAGACCAACCAACCAGCAAAGUUUAAUUUUAGCUGGGUUUUUUCUUUUCUUUUCUUUUCUUCUUCUUCCCAGGAGGCUUGUCUCUUAUAUACCACUGUAAAAUCUGUUUAAUUCUAGUGAAUCGAUUCGUUCGGAAGAUUUGUGUAAAUGAACCGAUUUACUUGGCAUCUUCUAUUUUAUAUUAAAAUAUUUUGUUAAAUACUGCUGUUCAUCACUAUGUUUUUCAUUCAGUUAUAUAAAGGUGUAUUCUAGCUUUUCUUUAGCUGCAUUGGGUAAAUGUAUCUGUCCAAUGCUGUUGCCCUAAUUGUUCUUUUUUUUUUCACAAAUGUGGCUCUGAUUAAACUACAAAAUAAUUGAAUCUGAUAUUUAUACAUUUAAAAAUAUAUUGUCCUCAUAGGCAGCUUCAAAGUUGUUAGCUUCUUGUUUGUAGCUUUUAGCUAACAAGCUAAAAGAUUAGCUUGUGAAGCAGGAGCUUCCCUAACACUGGCCCUAACAGUCCAUGGAAGUGAAGUUUGUCUUUUUUUAGUAUAUAAAAACAUUAUAAAACCAAAUUAAUACUCUGAUACCUUCCAGAUUCAUACACAGAGAUCUCUCAUGCUAUGCUAUGUCUUUAAAAGAUUAUUGGCCUGUAUGAGCCGGUGCAUUGGCAGCACUCCUAAAAUCAAAGCUAAGCAAAAAGACAGUUGAAGAGAUAAAGCUCACCUCCACCGUUAAGGAUAUGAGUCAUGUUCAGACAAGAUCAGGCCAACAACCUUUCACAAAGAGAGAGAGAGAGAGAGAGAGAGAGAGAGAGAGAGAGAGAGAGACAGUAGCAAACUGACAAAACCCCAAAACAAUAGGGAGGGCUGAGUAGAGGUUUAGAGAUAUUCUGUUGCAAUCAUGUCUUAACCAACACAGCCCCUUCAACGCAAACUUAUCUCUGCCAUCUCUCUGCAAAUGCACGCAUCUCAGAGGGGCUUUGACAUUGUGGGCACACGAACAGGGCCAGGACUUUGAUGCAUGUGGACUUUGAGAGGUAGAGGGGAUGCCAAUGUUGCUGCAUAGAAAGCCACAGACAAGGAGGUACCCACCGCCUCCUGGCAUUUGGCGCAUCACCUAAGAAACACACGAGCCAAAGCAAAGGUCACAGACUGUGACAAGACGUGUCUUUUUUGCAAUGCUGGUGGAGCCCCGGCUGGUUCAGUGCUGUUAGAGGUCCCUCAAGGGCUUCUCAGAACACAUUCAGUGUAAAAUAAACAGGAUCGCAUGUCUGUGUCCAGAUAAAACAUUUAAACAUCCUGCUCCAGCAGACGCUUGCAGGCAGAUAAUACCUGCCUUUACCUGUCAGUCAAACUUUUGUCAGUCAGAAAGCUUUGAAAGAUUAAAGUUUUUAAAGGGAGGUAAAGUAUAGCAAUAAAAUGUAAUCAAUAAGGUUCAAAAGAAAGUGUUCAAUUAAGUUUAAAAGAACAUGGUUAGACAUUACAAACAGACUUGAGGGCCUUGUUGCUUUUAUAAAAUGGUCAUAAUAAAAAAUAAUUAGGGAUAAGUUUUUUUUAAAACUUUAUUUCAAGUAAAUUUGGCAUCCUUCUGCUAUUGGGCAUUUUAGCACAACUGAAGCAUCGACCAAUCAGCAUGCAGGACCAGAAGUAUCUGGUUUAUAAUAACUUUUAAAUAUUGAGUUAAAAAUUAAUCAGUAAAAAUGACAACACUAAUUAUCCAUACAUAAAUGCACAAUCUAAAACACCUUGCAAACUUCUGUACCUUUAAUCAAACUAAUUUCCAAUAGAUCUAUUAUGAUCACACUUAUGAUUAAUUUGAGAUAAAGAUAUAAUUUUGAAACGUUGGCAUCAGGAAGGCUAAGACUUUGGUUUUUGAGGUCAGCCUCGAUCUGUUUUGCACAUGUUUUCUUGGGCAUCAUUAGUUGGAGUAGUUGAGUAGUUGGUAAGGUAGGCCGAACCACUGUAGCAAACUCCUUUGGAUUACUUCUUCGACUUGUCGAUUUUCGCACCUCAGUCUGAUAGUGUAAUUUUGAAGCCGGUCGCAUAGAGAGGCACCUAGUAUUCACCGCAGGUACCGCAUUUGAAAGUUUUUUAAGGUCUGCUUUUUGGGGCCGAUGCCAGAAGAGGGUUGAAAGAAGAAGGGUUGGUCCCCUUCCGAGGGACCGUAAAAACCCCGUGAGUAUCCACUGGAUCACAGACAAAUUGUAAAAAUAACUUGCUGUACAGACUUCUAUUACUUAAAUUAUUUAAUUUUGUAUGUUAUUUAAUUGAACACAAGGAUUCAAUAGAAAUACAAACACACAUAUACACUACCAUUCAAAAGUUUGGGGUCGCUAGGAUUUUUUAAUGUUUUUGAAAGAAGUCUCUUAUGCUCACCAAGGCUGCAUUUAUUUUAUCAAAAAACAGUAGAACAUUGAUAUCAUUAAAUAUUAUUACAAUUUAAUAAUAAUAUAUUUAAUCUAUUUUAAAAUGCAAUUUAUUCCUGUGGUGGCACAGCUGAACGCCAUGAGUCUUCAGUGUCACAUGAUCCUUCACAAAUCAUUCUAAUAUGAUGAUUUGAUGCUCAAUAAACAUUUUAAUGUUGAAAACAGCAACAAAACUUUUUUUCAGGAUUGUCUGAUCAAUAGAAAGUUCAAAAUAACAUUUUAUCAGAAAUAGAAAUCUUUUGUGAGAUACAUUAUAAAUGGCUUUACUGUCACUUUUGAUCCAUUUACUGCGUCCUUGCAAAAAAACGUUUCUAAUGGCAGUGUAUAUUACAUGAAAAUUAUUCAUGCAAAAUAAAGUAAUUACUAUGGAUGCUUGUUUUCGCCAUGGAAUAAAAAAAAAAGGUAAUAGCGACUUUUUCUCUCACAAUUCACUUUUUUUUCUUGCAAUUGCGAUCUCGCAAUUCAUACUUUUUUCUUAGAAUUGCGAGUUUAUAUUUUGCAAUUCUGACUUUAUAACAUGCAAUUGCGAGUCAAUGUCAGAAUUGAGAUAUAAACUCGCAAUUCCUCAAAAUUAGGCUUUAUAACUUGCAAUUGUGAGUUUACAUCUUACAAUUAUGAGAAUUGUGAGAUAUAAGCUCGCAAUUUUAAGAAAAGUCAGAAUUGUGAGAUAAAAAGUCGCAAUUAUUAUUAUUAUUUUUUUUUUUAUUGCUUGGCGGAAACAAGCUUCUAUAAAUUACUAAUGACACUCCGACCAAACUCAUGUUAAAAAAUAAAUAAAUAAAUAAAAGAAAAGAAAAGAAAAAAACACUUGAUUUUCUUAUUCUUCCGGCCACUUCAUCACCCGGUAAUAGCAGUAUCAGUCUCUGGCUUGUUCCUGUAACACUGCAUGUGUUUCUUGGUCUGACAUAUGCUCUCACUCUGCAUAUUUGCAAACUGGAGAAGGACAGCGGAAACAAAAGAGAUGGUCUUUGACUAAAACCACAAGUCCUUAAAAAAAGGGGGGGCCUCAUUCUAUAUGAGACCACAUAUCUAUUCUCAGUAUACAAGAUCGAAAGAUUCACACAAAGCAACAAUAUAAACACCACACAACAGCUCUGUGUCAAAAGUGAGGAGGAAAGGAGGGGAACAGACAGCAACAGUUUCAUAUGAUGACAGUAUUUAAUGCAGAAAAGCCCAUGCUUUAAAAACCAACAUAGAACGACACACUUUCCUUAAAGAUGCCAAGGUUACAAAAGUCAACCUUAGAAACAGUUUACAUCAGUAAACCUUGGUUUUACUUAUUAGAUUUCUUUCUUUAAAAAUAAAAAUAUAUAUUUAUAUAUAUUUAUUUGGAUAUUUGACCUUGUAUUUUAAGUCAAAUAGUAUUAAAUUCAAUAUUAAUUCAUAUCUCUCCUACAGUUCCAUACAAAUGCAUUUAAGAAGAUUUUUGACAACACUGUACCUGAGAAAACCCAAAGAAGCGAACCGACACACAGCAAAAGAUAACCCCUUUCAACAUUUUUACCAAAAUAUACUGUAUAUAAUUCAUACAUUUAUUUACUUAUAUAAAAAUACACUGCAAACCCUUGUUUUACUGUUUGUAAGGUGGUCCACAGUGAAUAAGAACAGUUAAAAAAACACCUUUCUCUCACAAAAAAUAUAUAUUUACACAGAUGAGAAAAUAGCAGUCCCAUACACUUUAAGGUAAAAAGUGAAACCUGACUCUAGAGUGCCUUUCAUGUAAGUUCAAGUACUCUCCACUCCCAAAAGUGUGGACUCAUCGUAAGAACACGUUUUGUUCAUGUGCUCUUGUUCAUUCGGUUGUAAACAUAGUCUUACAUCAAUGUUUCCUUCACCUUGUUCCUUUUUUGAAACUAAACAAAUACAUAUACAAUAAGCUUUGAUAAUCAUUUUAUAAAAUGCCCUGGAAUUGUGGAGCACAAUCAAUUUCAUGCCUCAAAAAACAAAACAAAACAAAAAAAAAAAGCAUCUAAAAUGCAUAAAGAUAUUCAUGCUUCACAAGAACAAAUAAAAUUCUUCAAAAUGUUUCAGGAUUUAAGAGGCGGUAUGUGUGUGCGAUUUGUGUCAUUUUUUGGAGGUGUAAAAAAAGGCAAAGCUAUUUUUUUUUAAAAAGAACAAUAAAAUGACAUUCAAACAAUAUGAAUGCAUUUCUAUCAGUGCUCUUGGUUGCCUUUUAAGUCUUUUUCCUCAUAACGUUUAAAGGGCAUAUUCACAGUUUUUUGGAGUUUUCCUCAAAGCAGAGAAGACAAAAGCAAAGCUUUAAAACAAUAGGUACAACAAAGUCCGAUAGUGAUGUAAGGCUCUUUUAGCACUGACAUAAAAGCCCAACAAAUGUGCAAGGGAGGUUCUGAACGUUGUGAAGGCUGCAGUUGUACAAGUUGAGCCGUAUGUGUUGAUUGAAGCUGGAUUUAUGUUUGUGCUACAGAAUGCUUCAUGUAAAUAUUCAACAACAUCGAACAGAAAAAAAGAGUGUGAAAGAAAGAGAAAAUAAAAAGGGAAGAGAAACAGGAAGGGAAAAUAAACUACUGUGAACAUUAAAACAAAUAGUCUAAAUUUUUACGGCUGAUUUUAAUGCCCUGAAAAUAUUGAGAAAAGUUCUCUGCACCAAGCAUGGGAAAUUUUAGUUGGGGGGGGAACAUUGUCUGAUUUAUAAACCGCAUUUUAUCUUGUAAAGCUCUCGUGCAGUCCGGGUUAGCGAUGAAAUCUCGACAGCAAUCUUCUAGCAUCUAUAAAAGUCGUUGUUUGAUUUUAAAGAUCUACAAUUUUCCAUUAUCAGGCAGAUUUUAACUGCACAUUGGUUAUUUAUUUAUCUCUCCAUGUCCAAAAAUGGUAAAAUGCAUUAGCUAACUAGAGUCGAACGAAAAAUGCAUAUGCAGCACAUGUAAGUGCAUAUUUAAGCUCUUACAAAGCUCAGUAACAAAUACGUAGGUCCAUGUGUGGGCUAAAAAAGACAACAUCUGUGGAUUGAAAAGAAAAAAUCUAAACACUUUACUGAUCUAAAGAGUUUGUGCUGUAACACUGAAGACAGUCAGAGGAGUUUGAUUUAAUGAGGCAUCAAUAAUGAGGCAUUUGGUCUGAAAGGCUGAGUGAAAUUCACAGAUUUCAAUCAAAAGUAUGGCAACCCUGUUGUUAAAGACCUGUUGUUAAUGUCUAUACUUAAAAUAGGUGCAGACUUGUUCCCUGCUGAAUCAGAGAUGACAAACUACUGCACUGGGACUAGCUAAACUACACAACGACCUUUGUUCCGUUUAUCAAUAGCAUGGAAAUAGCAUAUUUUUGCCCAAGGCCUCAAGCUAAUAGUGCAAAAACAGGUUUAUCAAGGCAUGUCGCAGUGCUGUUUUCAGCGAAGUGCAUAAGAACGCAAGAGAUGAUAGUAAGUGUGCAACAGCAGCAAAACACAGCGCGGAAAACUCAUCUGUCCUUAGCAUGGCAAAAAUAUUUCGGUCUCCCGCUAAAAUAUAUGAGACACGAGGGGAUUGUCAUCAACACUUCAUUGUAAUGUGUCCGAAAGACUUUGUGCCAACUACAGAACUGCGUUUGUGAAACUAGCAUAGCACCGACACGAGGAACAGGAAAUUAGCACGAGAACCGAAUCUUCGGUCCACACGCCCCGGGAACUUCAUCGAAAUGGAGCGAGUGAUGAGAAAAGACGCUAAAAAGAUACAAAGCACUCUGUAAAAGGCAAAAUUGUGCGGUUCAAAACAUCAGCAAGGCACUAAGAAGCCACAGCAGCAUGAAGCUAUGAAUUAAAGUCUUUUUUUGUACACAAAACUAAACGGUUUAGUUCUCCAGUGGUCCUCUGGUUGCUUGGUUCACCUGUAAUAUUGAUUGAGGUCCAUGAAACAGGAAUGACAGCAUGCAUCGAGGUAAUAAAGAUGACAAAAAAAGAGAAAGAACUUCACAACUUUAGAUAACACAUAGCUGCUCUGCUGGAAGGUUCAGUACAAAAAAAAAAAAAAAAGAAAAGAAAACGAAACAAAACA